GGAAAGACCCCGUGCACCUUUACUGCAUCUUGUUAUUGUUUUAAGAAAAAAAAUAUGUAGAAAUAGGUGGGAGUUUAUACAUUCUUGAAAUACCACUAAUUUUUUUUCGAGAAACUAAUCUGUAUAGAGACAGUAAUAGGUUGGUAGUUUGGCUGGGGCGGCCUCCUCCUAAAAAGUAACGGAGGAGUACAAAAGGUAAGCUCAAAUUAUUUAAAAUUAAUUGAGGAGCGCAAUGGUAAAAGCUUGCUUAACUGAAAGAUUUAUCGAUCUAUCAGGAACGAAAGUUGGUCAUAGUGACCCAAUAGUACUUUGUGGAAAGGCUAUUGCUCAACAAAUAAAAGGUACGCCGGGGAUAACA
rnacentral:rRNA from 1 species